AAAGAAAAAGAAAAAAGUGCCGUCACUUCUCCCAUCUCAAAUAUUCAUAGUUCCAACUUUUAUUUUCAAGGGAUAAUUAAGAGCCAGACAGGAAUGGUUUUUCAGAAAUAACCUAAUCGCUUGACUGAUAAUGAUGAUAUGAAUUAACCUCCUAAGACGUCGAUAAAAGAAAAUUUUCCCACACAACAAAGUGGAAGAACUUGUUUAUCCGGCUUGUGCAGGAGUGACGGAAGCAUCAAAAUUGAUGGGGAGAUGAAUAAUUAUUUUUUCUCUUGUAAAAGUAUAUCGAUAUGUAUGAAUAAAGUGAUGUUUCACUAUUUUAAAUGAAAUUAUUGAACCUUUA